GACGAACGCUGGCGGCGUGCUUAACACAUGCAAGUCGAACGGAAAGGCCCUGCUUUUGUGGGGUGCUCGAGUGGCGAACGGGUGAGUAACACGUGAGUAACCUGCCCUUGACUUUGGGAUAACUUCAGGAAACUGGGGCUAAUACCGUAUAGGAGCUCCUGCUGCAUGGUGGGGGUUGGAAAGUUUCGGCGGUUGGAGAUGGACUCGCGGCUUAUCAGCUUGUUGGUGGGGUAGUGGCUUACCAAGGCUUUGACGGGUAGCCGGCCUGAGAGGGUGACCGGCCACAUUGGGACUGAGAUACGGCCCAGACUCCUACGGGAGGCAGCAGUGGGGAAUAUUGCACAAUGGGCGGAAGCCUGAUGCAGCAACGCCGCGUGCGGGAUGACGGCCUUCGGGUUGUAAACCGCUUUCGCCUGUGACGAAGCGUGAGUGACGGUAAUGGGUAAAGAAGCACCGGCUAACUACGUG
rnacentral:rRNA from 1 species